AACGAACGCUGGCGGCAGGCCUAACACAUGCAAGUCGAGCGGACCCUUCCGUUUUAGCGGCGGCCGGUUGAGUAACGCUUGGUAAUAUGCCCUUCUCUACGGAAUAGUCCUGGGUAACUGGGGGUAAUACCGUAUACUCCCUCUGGUGGUCAGAUUUUUCGGGGAAGGAUUAGCCCGCGUUGGAUUAGGUAGUUGGUUUUGUAAUGGCCUAUCACGCCUACGAUCCAUAGAUGGUUUGAGAGGAAGAGCAGCCACACUGGGACUAAGAAACGGCGCAGACUCCUACGGGAGGCAGCAGUGGGGAAUCUUAGAAAAUGGGGGGAACCCAGAAGGAGCCAGGCCGGGAGAGUGAUGAAGGACUGAGGGAAGAAAAGCUGGUUCAGAUGGGAAGAUAAUGACGGUACCAGAAGAAGAAGCACCGGCUAACUACGUG
rnacentral:rRNA from 1 species